CACUAACGAAGGAAAGGUAUACGCAUCUCCUUCUGUGCUUUAGGAAAUCGUGUAAGGGCGGAGAGCCGUUGAGAAUGUCUCGGACUUUGGACGUUUUGGCUGGAGCGAGCCAGCUUGCUCCUCUUGACCCUCUGUGGUUUGUUGAGAAUCAGUUAGGUCUCCCGCUCCGAGUGGACAACACAGACGCAGCGGAAUUCGCCACCUCGGUCGUGUUCAUCUUCAGAAUAGC